UGCUGCGCUGCCUGCAGACGCUGUGUGUUCCAGACGGUGAUUGUACAGGCUUCUUGUUUUCACUGUCUCUGUCUUGCUACUCUGCUGUUGCUCAUUUCAUUUCUCACUUUGCUUAAUUUUUCCGCCUGUUAUCAUGUUAUUGUGAUAUUGCUAAUGUUUUAGAAAGUAGAAAAGAUAAUACGGAGCAGAAUGAGGGCAAGCAAACACAAUCUUCCUUUCAGGUCCCGUGUGGGCAACGAUUAAUUAACGUGUCAAGAAAUAUAAACAGUGCACAUUAAAAAACACCAUGAAGGUCCAAUUAAAAGUCUGAUUAUAAUUUUGAUGCCAGUUACAAAACCGUGGACUCUUUUUUUGUUGUUUGGUCACAGUCCACUGAAAUUAUUUGGAAAAUCAGCCACAUCCCCUCUACUGAGUAACAGACACAAAAGAAAAUUACCACUGUAGCUUGGAAAAAACAUACCAUCUUUGCAGUGUUGGCACCAAAACAAAUUAACCCUAAGGGUUUUGGAGGGCCAAUGUGUGAGCAGAAUACUAACAAAAUCCACAAUAUUCUGGGCUUACAGCAGGUUAAAGCUGAACUGUGGGCAACAGAGUAGAUCAUCCCCAUGUGGAUAGAGGGAUAUACAUAAACUAUCUGAAGUACAAGAAGUAAUCUGACCUGUAAAUCUGAGUCGCCUGAUGCAUUCUUCCAUACCAGGCUUAUCACAUCCAAAACAACUGGCGUUUAUGAAGGUUCUCUUCCUCUAACUUUAAGUCGCCACAGGUCCGUGUAAUCCACACACGCACUCACACGCAUACGCACAAACACACGCUUUUACUCACCCCCACGCAUUAGUCUAAUCUCCUGUUCGUACCUGCCAAUAUGACUCACUGAAAAUGGAUCAGGGAAUGAGGGACUUUCUUAUUUCCUCAGUGCCAGUCCAAUAAAAAACACUUCACAGCAAUAGACACAUACGCCCACACACACACGGCUCAGUGAGUCAAAUGGUUAUCCAUUUUUAAUGACAUAUGGACAGCUUGACCUAGUAUUGCUGAGCUCUGUCUCCGGGGUCGGUGUGUGUGGUGUUUUGUAGAGGCAGAGGCAGGCUGGGGACAAACUAGUGUGUGUGGAUGUCUAGUCCUGCAAAAUCGUUUUUCGUGUGUGCACCCUAAAUAUAGUUUGCAUGUGGGUGAAGUGAUUAACAUUUUGUAAUGUUUUGCAAUCAGUCACACCACACAGGUCAACAUUGAUGAUUGUCUGACUUAAUAAUCUCACCUGUGCAUAUUUCCCUCCCUGUCUGUUUGCUAGCAGUCUAGCGUCCACAGUUUUUAAGAUAUCAUUUUCAAAUUUUGUGUGAUGGUAGAUACCAAUGACAACUCGAGUGAAAACUGGGGUCAAGGUCAAUUCCACACCAGAUUUGAAAAUCAGUAAAAAUGUUGUAUUAUACCCAAUUUUUCAUGGAUUGUCUUCAAACAUCACAACAAUAUACUAGACCUUGUGUGACAUCAUACUGUAAUUAAAACAGGCUGACGUCAGCAUGUGGUAAUAAAUACAUCAUAAAGCAUCAAAGGUUUAUUAUAGCUCUCACUCUUUGGGGGGAGUUGCCCUCUCUGAGUGCUGUUGUUGGGUUUUUCUCUCUAAUACUAUAGGAUCUUUACCAUAUAAUAUUAAGCGCCUUGAGACAACUGUUGUUAUGAAUAGCUUCUAUAUAAAUUAAACUAUAUAAAGUAUAUGUUUUUGGAGCAGGUUGCUGGUAGCAAAGUGCCUAAAGAUUCAAUUUCAAAUAGUUUUUUUUUCCUAAGUUGUUUGUUGUCUGUGUAGCAAUAACAGUGGUUCAUCCCUUUUGUUAGGUGCAUGUUUUAUGCUUAAUAAAAGCUUAAGAUAAACUUAAAAAAAUCACAAGUGGAGUGGAGUACAGUGGAAAGGUGCUUGAAACACAUCCAGACAGUUGUAUAUGCACUUUCAUAGCAGUAUUAGUCAUUCAACCAUGCACUCACACCACAUACUUUUCUCUCUGUGCCCUCGGUGUGACCUUGGCUUCUAUCCUCCCUCUGGGUCAGCAUUCAUCUGUCUCAAACUCUCUCUGUGAGUGUGACAGAAAGGUCACCCAUAGAAAAAAGGCUUACAAAUUUUUAAUUCACUAUAAUUACUCAUUACAUGUGUACAUUUAUUGUCAGCAGUCCGGGACUAAGCACAGUAUUGUCUUCUAAUCUUUUUUCUUCAAUUCUCCCAGUUAAACAAUGAGUCAUCUAUUGCAGCAUAUAUUGUCUCUGGGGUAUUUUUAAUUUAUUGUUUCUCAUUGUUUUCAUUGUGCAACACCAAUGUGUGUGCUAUUUGAGCAAACCGAAGCCCUAACACAAUCAGACAUCAUCAUUUUAAUAUGAAACGCACACGAGUUCCUGCAGUAUUUAUAGUGGUAGUUAUUAGACAUGAAACAAAAACUAGUAGCAGUGGGAACCUUUAAACUUUCAGUUUUCAUUAGAUAAUUUUAAUGUAGCGGUACUGGGUAUUUAAGCUAUUCUGACAACGUUCCCAAAGAAUUAGAUGAAUUAAAUUUUUUUUGAAUGGGCUCCCUUUUCAUGUGCAUGUCAUCUGAAUGAACGGAGAAAGGUCAGAAUAUAUUCACAACCAUUAAACACACAAAGACUAACAAACUUGUACAUUAAAUCUAGAUCACAGAACCGUGUAUGAGGAUGAAACUGUUGUGUGCAGAGCACAAAGUUAUCUGACUGUUCGGACUCCUGGUUUACCCAGAAAAAGGAAACGGACACGUUAUUUACACACAGAUUGACUGUGCAUGCAUGUGUCUGUGUGUAAGCCUCAGAAAAAUAUGACUCACUGUUGUCAUGGGGAAAGAAGAGCAGUGAGACUGAGGAGAGAUUUACUGAACCAUGUAAAACACACACAUCAGACACAUGCGUGCAGUAAUGCACAACGUGAAUCAAGUACAUUAAUGAAACUGCAGCACCUAUAAAUCCCCACACGCUUCUGUAGCAAGGUAAAUGUGCACACACAUGUAAAUGAAUAACAUCAAUUUCGAAAGGAAAAAGAAAAUAUGAAUUUAAAGAGAGAAUAUUCACAGCCCUGUAAACACCCUCGCUCACAUCGACACACGCUGAGAAUCUGUACCCGGUUAUUUGGAAUAACAGUGCUGAGAUCACAGACACAGAUGCGCUCACCAGAAACUAAACAAACCAAGCUAAUAUGCACACACACAUGCAAGACCAUCCAGACAUCCCUUUCCCCUUUCAUGUCUGACCUGCAUGUAUGAACACAGCAUAGUUCACAGUGAUUAAAAAAAGAAUUUCCUUAGCAUGACACCUCAUAAAAACUCCCAUGCAGAGUGGAGGAACUAGUUACCUCAUUAGUCUGGGCUGCCAGUCAAAGGCACUGCAGAAUAUCCACAGUAAUUCCACUUUAGUGGGGCUUUGCGGCCCCUUAUAUAAAUGAAAAGGUCUAUAAUGAUCCUUCUGGUGUAUGAGGAGUAUAUGUCAUUAUCCUAUAAAACAGCGGUCCCCAACCGGUAUCGGUCGGUGGGUUUGGUUGGUCCACAAGAGUUAAGGCUCGGGUGUGAAAUUUAUGGUUUUCAGGGUUUUUAUCGUUUUUUUGCGUUAUUUUUUUAAAAUAAUUUUUAUCGUUAACUCGGUUUCCCUGGGUCUUUUCCACUGUAUGAAUAAAUCUUCGGUUUUUUGGUACUGGUACUGGUUUUAUAUUGUUUUAUUUAUCCGCAACACCUUAAAGGCUGGUCUGUGAAAAUACUGUUGGACAUACCAGUCCGUAGCGCAAAAAAGGUUGGGGACCACUGCUAUAAAAGACCGAAAAUAACAGAUGAACUGCAUUAUCAUUUCGAUAAAGAAAAAGUUUGUCAAUGACUUGCUGUAGUUGCUCACCUGCAUUCUGAUCAACUACAAUCUGCCUAAUACUGAAAGAGCAGUAGCCAUAUUCAUAAAAGGGCAAAAGUGCCCAUUGAAUGACAGAUAUGACCUUGAACAUCAGGAUGGUUAGAGUGAAGAUUAAGUGAUCAUUGGAUUUAAUUGUAAGUUCUUGAGGAGUAAUUCUCAUGGACUGUAGGUGGAUGGACCAAUGGCUUCCUAUCAAAUAAGCUCACGAGACCUUACAGGAGCUAAAGGAUGAGCUGAAAAUGUCUAAUUCAUUUUCUGUCAAAAAGAAGUAAUUCUUAAACCUUAUUUUAUGAACCUUUGGCCUUUUGGAUGGCAUUACCUUGGCCUCCAGUAAUGCUGUGAGGAACCUUGGAGUCAUUUUUGACCAGGACAUGUCCUUCAACGCACAUAUUAAACAAAUA